AAUUUUUACUGGGGGAGCCGAAAGGCUGAGAGUCCCUGAUCUUGAUCGGGACGACCCUUGGAACCUGGUCUCGGUAAUGCGAGCGUAGGGAAGUAGACAGAUUCCGGA
rnacentral:ncRNA from 1 species